GAAAGACCGCUGCACGGCUCCACGGAGCUCCAGGCUGCAGAACUAGGUUUUCGAUCCCUUUCUUUCGCGAAGAUGCGCAUUGACUGGCACCGGACCAAAUAUCAACCGCGCACUAAUGUGCCAUCUGAGGUGUUGUAAAUGGUGUGUCCAUAAUAGUUGUGCAGUGGUUGUUUUAGGAAAGCCAGCAAUACAGUCCGACCCGGGCUGGAGACAAAAACGCAUUUAAACCAACUUAUUUCAAGCGCUGCGCAGCAUCAGUCAAAUGGGGCAAACAAGUUUCAUAAAGCUCUGCUAUUCGCGAAAAGCUGUGUGGUGCUGGUUGAAUGAACCGUUGGUACAAUGUCCGAGGAUAGCAUUCGUAGCUAUUGGUGGCGUUACAAAUAUUUCAUUAAUCAGUAGUACAUCUUGUCGGUGUCAGCGUCGGCCCUUAUUGGUUGGAUGAUCUCGCGGUUAGUAAUUAUAUUUAAAAAGGGCUAAAGAAGUUAUACAGCUAUUAAUCACCUCCCGGGUAGCAAA